rnacentral:rRNA from 1 species
ACGUAGGGUGCGAGCGUUAAUCGGAAUUACUGGGCGUAAAGCGUGCGCAGGCGGUUUUUUAAGACAGAUGUGAAAUCCCCGGGCUUAACCUGGGAACUGCAUUUGUGACUGGAAGGCUAGAGUACGGCAGAGGGGGGUAGAAUUCCACGUGUAGCAGUGAAAUGCGUAGAUAUGUGGAGGAAUACCGAUGGCGAAGGCAGCCCCCUGGGUCGAUACUGACGCUCAUGCACGAAAGCGUGGGGAGCAAACAGGAUUAGAUACCCUGGUAGUCCACGCCCUAAACGAUGUCAACUAGGUGUUGGGGGAGGAGACUUCCUUAGUACCGCAGCUAACGCGUGAAGUUGACCGCCUGGGGAGUACGGCCGCAAGGUUG